UAAUACGUAGGGGGCAAGCGUUGUCCGGAUUUACUGGGCGUAAAGGGCGCGUAGGCGGCCUGCUUUGUCGGGGGUGAAAGGUCCGGGCUUAACCUGGACAGGUCUCUCGAAACGGGCAGGCUUUGAGGGCGGUAGAGGCUGGUGGAAUUCCGGGUGUAGUGGUGAAAUGCGUAGAGAUCCGGAGGAACACCGGUGGCGAAGGCGGCCAGCUGGGCCGGCCCUGACGCUGAGGCGCGAAAGCGUGGGGAGCGAACUGAAUUAGAUACUCAGGUAGUCCACGCCCUAAACGCUGGACACUAGGUGUGGGGGGUAUCGACCCCUCCCGUGCCCGAGCUAACGCAGUAAGUGUCCCGCCUGGGGAGUACGGCCGCAAGGCUA
rnacentral:rRNA from 1 species